rnacentral:sRNA from 1 species
ACCCGGCCCUGGGCAUCGGAUGAUUUCCUCAAAUGUCUGGUGCCGUUUAUGCGUAAGAGUGCUCAGGCGCUGAGGGGCUCUGCAGCCACGUGUGUGGUGU